rnacentral:rRNA from 1 species
CCUACGGGUGGCAGCAGUAGGGAAUCUUGCACAAUGGGCGCAAGCCUGAUGGAGCAACACAGCGUGAGUGAAGAAGGGUUUCGGCUCGUAAAGCUCUGUUGUUGGAGAAGAAAGUGCGUGAGAGUAACUGUUCACGCAGUGACGGUAUCCACCCAGAAAGUCACGUCUAACUACGUGCCAGCAGCCGCGGUAAUACGUAGGUGGCAAGCAUUAUCCGGCUUUAUUGGGAGUAAAGCGAGCGCAGGCGGUUGCUCCGGUCUGAUGUGAAAGCCUUCGGCUUAACCGAAGCAUGGCAUAGGAAACCGGGCGACUUGAGUGCAGAAGAGGACAGUGGAACUCCAUGUGUAGCGGUGGAAUGCGUAGAUAUAUGGAAGAACACCAGUGGCGAAGGCGGCUGUCUGGUCUGCAACUGACGCUGAGGCUCGAAAGCAUGGGUAGCGAACAGGAUUAGAUACCCGGGUAGUC